AGAUUGAACGCUGGCGGCAGGCCUAACACAUGCAAGUCGAGCGGUAACAGGGGUAGCUUGCUACCCGCUGACGAGCGGCGGACGGGUGAGUAACGCGUAGGAAUCUACCCGGUAGUUGGGGAUAGCCCGGAGAAAUCCGGAUUAAUACCGAAUAAUCUCUACGGAGGAAAGGGGGCUUCGGCUCUCGCUACUGGAUGAGCCUACGUCGGAUUAGCUAGUUGGUGGGGUAAAGGCCUACCAAGGCGACGAUCCGUAGCUGGUCUGAGAGGAUGAUCAGCCACACUGGGACUGAGACACGGCCCAGACUCCUACGGGAGGCAGCAGUGGGGAAUAGUUGGACAAGUGGGGGCAACCCUGACUCCAGCCAUGCCGCGUGUGUGAAGAAGGCCUUGGGUUGUAAGGCACGUUUCAGUAGGGAGGAAGGGUGAGUAGGUUAAGUACCC
rnacentral:rRNA from 1 species